GAUAUGACCUAAUAACUACCACAUUUACAGGAAGUAUGGUAAUACAUUCUUGUCAGCUGUCUGGGCAAAUCUUCUCUCGCAGAAUUGGAUUAAAAUUUAAUGUAUUUUAUUUCUCACUUCCAACGAUGUCGCAAUUAUUAGGCAGCUAUCAAGUCUCAAGAUAUGACAUAAUUUGAUAGAAUGUUAGUACCAACGCUAUCAGUGCAUUGAAGUCGAGUUCUCGAUACAGGGAGCUGCUGGUAAACUACCGUCGCUAUACAUCGACUAUGACUACAAUCCUACUUUUAAAAACAAACUACAUACAUAUCUCACAUUUGCGAGGACUACUUCAUCACAAGCAAAAAAUCGACAUUGGUAAAUAAAGGUCUGUCUUCUAUAACCACGAUGAAAAGAAAAGCUGGGCGAAAACAUUUGAGACUGCAGAUUGCAGAACUGGAACACUCUAUUUGAAGACAGUGGCUGCUGAGUGCUGAGCUGCAUCAAAUCUAUCAGCAUCAUGUAACUUCGAUCAGGAACAGACUCCAUUUCAUUUCCGACAACUAGCACCUGUUUUCCCUAGACUUACCAAGUAUUAAGUAACUGCAUUAGUAUUAGGUUAAAUUAAAGGCCCUACAUCGAACAAGUCUAACAAUUAAAACUUAAAUGCAAGAGUGCACAAUUUAUCACUAAAUAUCUUCCUCUUUUAAUUCUA